GCUUGCACCUGCUGACGUGUAGCGAAAGGGUGAGUAACACGUGAGAAACCUGCCUUAAAGUCGGUGAUAGCCCAUGGAAACGUGGAUUAAUACCGGAUGUGGUUAUUUUAGCGCAUGCUUUAAUAACUAAAAUUUUUUGCUUUAAGAUGGUCUCGCGUACCAUCAGCUAGUUGGUAAGGUAACGGCUUACCAAGGCUACGACGGUUAGCUGGUCUGAGAGGACGAUCAACCACACUGGGACUGAGACACUGCCCAGACUCCUACGGGAGGCUGCAGUCGAGAAUCUUCCGCAAUGCGCGAAAGCGUGACGGAGCGAUGCCGCGUGCCGGAUGAAGGCCUUCGGGUCGUAAACGGCUGUCACUCGGGACGAAAAAAAUGACGGUACCGAGAGAGGAAGCCACGGCUAACUACGUGCCAGCAGCCGCGGUAAUACGUAGGUGGCAAGCGUUAUUCGGAUUCAUUGGGCGUAAAGGGUUCGUAGGCUGUUGUCUAAGUCUGAAGUGAAAUCUAGUGGCUCAACCACUAAACUGCUUUGGAUACUGGAUGACUAGAGUACUGGAGAGGCAAGCAGAAUUCCUGGUGUAGCGGUGGAAUGCGUAGAUAUCAGGAGGAAUACCAAUUGCGAAGGCAGCUUGCUGGACAGUAACUGACGCUGAGGAACGAAAGCUAGGGGAGCGAACAGGAUUAGAUACCCUGGUAGUCCUAGCUGUAAACGUUGUACACUAGAUGUAGGUGGGUUGGUCCCAUCUGUGUCCAAGCUAACGUGAUAAGUGUACCGCCUGGGGAGUACGGCCGCAAGGCUAAAACUCAAAGGAAUUGACGGGGGCCCGCACAAGCGGUGGAGCAUGUGGCUUAAUUCGAGGCCACGCGAAGGACCUUACCUGGAUUUGACAUAUACAUGACCGUCAUAGAAAUAUGAUUUUCCUUCGGGACAUGUAUACAGAUGCUGCAUGGCUGUCGUCAGCUCGUGCCGUGAGGUGUUCGGUUAAGUCCGGCAACGAGCGCAACCCACGCUGUUAUUUGCCAGCGCGUAAUGGCGGGAACUAUAACAGGACUGCCCGUGCUAAGCGGGAGGAAGGCGUGGACGACGUCAAGUCCGUAUGGCUCUUACAUCCAGGGCUGCACACGUGCUACAAUGGUCGGUACAAUGGGAUGCCACUCAGCGAUGAGGAGCGAAUCUCCAAAACCGGCCCCAGUUCGGAUCGUAGUCUGCAACUCGACUACGUGAAGUCGGAAUCGCUAGUAAAGGCGUAUCAGCAACGACGCCUUGAAUACGUUCCCGGGCCUUGUACACACCGCCCGUCACAUCAUGGAAGCCCAUUGCACCCGAAGUCGAUGACCCAACCGCUUGCGGAGGGAGUCGCCGAAGGUGUGGUUGGUAACUGGGAUGAAGUCGAAACAAGGUA
rnacentral:rRNA from 1 species